rnacentral:rRNA from 1 species
GCCAGCCGCCAUAUCACCCUGCAGCUCUCAAUUGGCUACCCACAGAAGCUAAGCAGGGUUGAGCCUGGUCAGUAUCUGGAUGGAGACCUCCUGAGAAGCUAUGGUUGCUGCUGGAA